GAUGAACGCUGGCGGCGUGCUUAACACAUGCAAGUCGAACGAUGAAGCCCAGCUUGCUGGGUGGAUUAGUGGCGAACGGGUGAGUAACACGUGAGUAACCUGCCCUUAACUCUGGGAUAAGCCUGGGAAACAGGGUCUAAUACCGGAUAGGAGCGUCCACCGCAUGGUGGGUGUUGGAAAGAUUUAUCGGUUUUGGAUGGACUCGCGGCCUAUCAGCUUGUUGGUGAGGUAAUGGCUCACCAAGGCGACGACGGGUAGCCGGCCUGAGAGGGUGACCGGCCACACUGGGACUGAGACACGGCCCAGACUCCUACGGGAGGCAGCAGUGGGGAAUAUUGCACAAUGGGCGCAAGCCUGAUGCAGCGACGCCGCGUGAGGGAUAACGGCCUUCGGGUUGUAAACCUCUUUCAGUAGGGAAGAAGCGAAAGUGACGGUACCUGCAGAAGAAGCACCGGCUAACUACGUG
rnacentral:rRNA from 1 species